CCUACGGGAGGCAGCAGUGAGGAAUAUUGGUCAAUGGACGGAAGUCUGAACCAGCCAAGUAGCGUGAAGGAUGACUGCCCUAUGGGUUGUAAACUUCUUUUAUAUGGGAAUAACAUGUUCCACGUGUGGGAUUUUGUAUGUACCAUAUGAAUAAGGAUCGGCUAACUCCGUGCCAGCAGCCGCGGUACUACGGAGGCUCCGAGCGUUAUCCGGAUUUCUUGGGUUUAAAGGGAGCGUAGGUGGAUUGUUAAGUCAGUUGUGAAAGUUUGCGGCGCAACCGCCAAAUUGCAGUGGAAACUGGCAGUCUUGAGUACAGUAGAGGUGGGCGGAAUUCGUGGUGUAGCGGUGAAAUGCUUAGAUAUCACGAAGAACUCUGAUUGCGAAGGCAGCUCACUGGACUGCAACUGACGCUGAGGCUCGAAAGCGUGGGUAUCAAACAGGAUUAGAUACCCUAGUAGUC
rnacentral:rRNA from 1 species